ACAACUGUCAUGUUUCCUAUGUACUGUUAAGUUUCCUUUGUAUUGGACAGGAGACACAAUUGUCAUGUUUCCUAUGUACUGUUAAGUUUCCUUUGUAUUGGACAGGAGACACAAUUGUCGUGUUUCCUAUGUAGUGUUACGUUUCCUUUCUGAUGGACAGGAGACACAGUCCUCCCUUGUCCUCUGUAAAGACACCUUCCAGUCUUGGCCUCACCUCCUUCUGCACUGUGAGGAUCAGCUCACAGCAUCUAAGACAUGCCAAAGACUGCAGCACCAACUGAACUGUCAAUCAACCGAGGACCCAUCACAGUUAGACCUCAUAGGGACACAUUUGACUUCCUGCCUGUCCCCGUCAUUCUUCAAAGCAAAGGACGAGAAAACACCUGCCUGUCUUUGCCUCACUUCCUGUCUGGCUCUGAGAUUCUGGAUCAGCUCAUAACGACCAGGACAUCCUGCCACCACUGCAGCAGCAGAGCAGAUGUUGAAGCACCGUGUUAACUGUUCAUCAUCAGUGGACACAUGCUGGACCACAGAGACACGUGUUCUCCCUGCCAGUGUUGAGGUUUCUUCACAACAGAUAAUAAGGUCUUCCUCCUUUGUGAUUCCUCCACUUCACAGUGAAGACACUCAGGACUGCAGAGAGCGCUGAACACAAAAGAAGCUGAACAUCAUGCAGCGUAUUCAGUUGCACUGGACCUAUAUGUUGAUCUGCUCUGCAGCAGAGUUCAAGGAUCAGGUGUGUGACUGCAAGGAAGAGUCAUCAGUCAGUCAUCACUGUCCCAGUGACAGCCCCACCUUUAUGCAGCUUCAAGCUCCUCCCUAAACCAGCUGUAAAGGCCUCUCCUCCUCCAUGUAGCUAUAGUAACACUAUCCUGACGUGAUGACUGGAGCAGUGGAUCUACAGCCGCUGCACAGGUCAAAGGUCAUAAUGUUACAGGUCUUCAAAGCAUACACUACUAACUCAUGAACAGUAUUACUACAGGACACCUGUCUAUUUUGUUUGUUUCAUCUCUACCGUAUUUGAUCUAACAAUAUACGUUUUCCUUAUGUUUCAUCGCAUUUUUUUUUCUUGAUUGUAUUUAUUUAUGUAUUUAUUAUUUAUUUGUCAUCCGUCCCUUUUCAGUCGGAUUUAUGAGAAAAUUAAGGAUGAAAAUGUUUGUUUGAUUGCCUCGUGCAUAUGGACAAAUUAACCUUGAAGAAAUGACAUAUUUGUAUCACAAUGAGUCAUUAGUAUGGGGUUUCAGCUGGUAGGUAUAUUCAAGGUUUUUCACAUGUGUACACCGAUCCUUAGGAUAACCUAAACUCUACUGAGACUGCCCAGUGUUAAAUUGUAAGACUGUGAAAUCCAUCAAGUGUUUCAUCUUCAGAUGGCUAAAACAUGACUUGGCGCAAAGAGCCUUGUCAAAAGAUUUAAAAGGAAAUCAAAUCCUACAAAGCUUGGGUCCUAACCUUGAGUCAACAAGUGACUCUAACCCAAUGUUCCAUCAAAGUAAGGAGAACCCAGUGUGUCUCUGAGCCUCAGUAAACUGAGCUUAACGCUGGGAUAGUCUAAACGACAAUGUUGACAAGACUUAUCUGUCCAGGGCUCCUGGACCUUGAAGUCUUGAACUGAGUAUUACCCUAAGUCUGGAAACGAUGUGAAAAACCUUUGAUUGUAGGAAAUGAACCAUAUUGUUAACUAUUGAAACUAUAGUACAUUUAUUCAUGAAUAACACAGGGACCAAUGUUCACAAAACUGUGUUGAUACAUUUCUCACUCUAAGAUUUUAUCUUUCAUGAAAUACUCAAAAUAAUUAUGACCAAUACAACAGUACUUGUGCACUGUACUCAUCUAUAUUAUUUCAUUAUAUUUCCAUAGAAGAUAAUGAGUCAAAAAAGGAUGUAAAGACGGGAUCUUCUUUUGUGUUGUAUUUCAACUCUUAGCUUUGAUAAAUGCUGCACUUCAUCUUCCACACUGCCAAUUUUGAAAUUAAAAUAUUAUGCUUU